CAAGUCUUGACAUCCCCCUGACCGGAACUUAACCGUUCCUUUCCUUCGGGACAGGGGAGACAGGUGGUGCAUGGUUGUCGUCAGCUCGUGUCGUGAGAUGUUGGGUUAAGUCCCGCAACGAGCGCAACCCCUAUCCUCAGUAGCCAGCAUAUAAGGUGGGCACUCUGGGGAGACUGCCAGGGAUAACCUGGAGGAAGGCGGGGAUGACGUCAAAUCAUCAUGCCCCUUAUGAUUUGGGCUACACACGUGCUACAAUGGCGUAAACAAAGGGAAGCGAACCUGCGAGGGUGGGCAAAUCCCAAAAAUAACGUCCCAGUUCGGACUGUAGUCUGCAACCCGACUACACGAAGCUGGAAUCGCUAGUAAUCGCGGAUCAGAAU
rnacentral:rRNA from 1 species